rnacentral:tRNA from 1 species
GGCGACUUGGCCGAGGGGUUAGGUAGCGGUCUGCAAAACCGUCCACACCGGUUCAACUCCGGUAGUCGCCUCCA